UACGUAGGGUGCGAGCGUUAAUCGGAAUUACUGGGCGUAAAGCGUGCGCAGGCGGUUUUGUAAGUCAGAUGUGAAAUCCCCGGGCUUAACCUGGGAAUGGCAUUUGGGACUGCAAGGCUUGAGUGCGGCAGAGGAGACUGGAAUUCCUGGUGUAGCAGUGAAAUGCGUAGAUAUCAGGAGGAAUACCGAUGGCGAAGGCAGGUCUCUGGGCUGACACUGACGCUCAUGCACGAAAGCGUGGGGAGCAAACAGG
rnacentral:rRNA from 1 species